CUUUAAUAGCGAGACUUUACUCUAAUUUCAUGGUGGUUCUAAGGUAGUAGUAAGAUGCAAAAAAGAGGUGCAGAUGUGACAAGAAAAGUGAGCAAAAAGUAAUAAUGAACCCACUUAAGAAAUUACAUGUCUGUAUAAGUAUUAAAGAUAAAGCUUAGGCAGGGCGUGGUGGCUCAGGCCUGUAAUCCCAGCACUUUGGGAGGCCAAGGAGAGUGGAUCACUCGAGGUCAGGAGUUCAAGACCAGCCUGGCGCCAACAUGGUGAAACCCCGUGUUGAAUAAAAAUACAAAAAUUAGCCAGGAAUGGUGGGGCGCGCCUGUAAUCCCAGCUACUUGGGAGGCUGAGGCAGGAGAAUCACUUGAACCCGGGAGGUGGAGGUUGCAGUGAGCCGAGAGCUCCCCAUUGCACUCCAGCCUGGGCGACAAGAGGGAAACUAUGUCUCAAAAUAAAUAAAUACAUAAAUAAGAAGAAAUAAAAAGGUUAAGGAUCUGACACAGAAAUGCACACAUUUUCUUCUCAACUAUCAAAAGCAGGAGGAAAAUUUUUAAACUUCCCAGAGAUGAGUUUUCUAAGUUUUAUUUUCCAAACUUCACUCUUAUUAACCUUUAAAACAACACUGGUAGAUCAUUUCUGAAGUGAAGUUUUAAAAUAUUCCCUUCACUGUCUGAAAGCAAAAUAUAACCCUUAGUUUUAUCAAUUUGUAAUUUUUAGUUAAAGAAACAACUUGAUAAUGGGGACUAAGGGAAAUAAAGUUUCUCUGCGGGAGUCCCUGCUGAAUGCCGCCCUGAGCUAGCGGGCGACGCUGCGCUUCCCCGCUGGAGGGCGCCAUCAUCCCAUCCACAGAGAGCUCAGCAGGCCACGUGCCGCGGCCUGCUGCGAACCCGCAGGGACUGCUCCCUGGCUGGCGGCACCCUUAUUGUUCAAUAAAGACCUGGUUCAGAGACAAAGGUGGCCCUGUCAGUAGCUCUGAAUAGCCCCAAGCUAGUUGCUGAUCCUAACAGGCCCAAUUAACUGCUACUCAUUUAGCAAAGCGGCCCGGGACCCAUCCCGCUUCCCGCUCCACCUUCUGAAACUCUCCCUGCCUGGGUACCUUGGCUAUGGGCUUUGCAGUCUCCCUUUAGCGGAUCAAAGGUGUGUGGGAAAGAAUGACGGCUGGAUCCGCCUCCACAGGUCCUUACACAGACGCACACAUCACAGCCAGACCCAAAGCACUCAUGGUGGUGAGCGAGAGCCCGAGGUGGAAUUCCAGGGCCGGUCUCAGAACAACGCCUUGAUUGCCGUGAUUCGAAGAGCUAUCUCAAAACAUUUCGCUUCAGUGAAGUGCCUGAGAAGAAACACUCGUCACAACUCACUCUGCUGCUGACACUGGAUGUACUCACCUUAGGUCCUCCCACUGCCAGGCUGCCUGGCCUCGGGAACACGCUGACACACACAAGAAUACACACUGGAGCUGGCUUCCUUCCUCCUCACAACUAAGUAUAUUCCUGUUCUAGAA
rnacentral:lncRNA from 1 species